rnacentral:tRNA from 1 species
GCGAGGGUGGCGGAAUUGGCAGACGCGCUAGACUUAGGAUCUAGUGAGCUUAGCUCGUGGGGGUUCGAGUCCCCCCUCUCGCACAA